rnacentral:rRNA from 1 species
UACAGAGGUGGCAAGCGUUGUUCGGAAUUACUGGGCGUAAAGCGCACGUAGGCGGACCAGCAAGUUGGGGGUGAAAUCCCGGGGCUCAACCCCGGAACUGCCUUCAAAACUGCGGGUCUGGAGGUCGAGAGAGGUGAGUGGAAUUCCGGGUGUAGCGGUGGAAUGCGUAGAGAUCCGGAAGAACACCGGUGGCGAAGGCGGCCCGCUGGGCAGGAAGGCUCGCAAGAGCCGGCUGACGCUGAGGCGCGACAGCGUGGGGAGCAAACAGG